UUUGAUGGCGACCGGCGCACGGGUGAGUAACACGUAUCCAACCUGCCGAUAACUCGGGGAUAGCCUUUCGAAAGAAAGAUUAAUACCCGAUGGUAUAAUCAGACCGCAUGGUUUGAUUAUUAAAGAAUUUCGGUUAUCGAUGGGGAUGCGUUCCAUUAGGCAGUUGGUGAGGUAACGGCUCACCAAACCUUCGAUGGAUAGGGGUUCUGAGAGGAAGGUCCCCCACAUUGGAACUGAGACACGGUCCAA
rnacentral:rRNA from 1 species